rnacentral:rRNA from 1 species
AUUGAACGCUGGCGGCAGGCUUAACACAUGCAAGUCGAACGGUAACAUAGAGAAGCUUGCUUCUUUGAUGACGAGUGGCGGACGGGUGAGUAAUGCUUGGGAAUCUGGCUUAUGGAGGGGGAUAGCUACGGGAAACUGUAGCUAAUACCGCGUAAUAUCGAAAGAUUAAAGUGUGGGACCUUCGGGCCACAUGCCAUAGGAUGAGCCCAAGUGGGAUUAGGUAGUUGGUGAGGUAAAGGCUCACCAAGCCGACGAUCUCUAGCUGGUCUGAGAGGAUGACCAGCCACACUGGGACUGAGACACGGCCCAGACUCCUACGGGAGGCAGCAGUGGGGAAUAUUGCGCAAUGGGGGCAACCCUGACGCAGCCAUGCCGCGUGAAUGAAGAAGGCCUUCGGGUUGUAAAGUUCUUUCGGUAGCGAGGAAGGUGGUUAGUUUAAUAGGCUAGCCAAUUGACGUUAACUACAGAAGAAGCACCGGCUAACUCCGUG